rnacentral:rRNA from 1 species
ACAUGCAAGUCGAACGGUAACAGGCCUUCGGGUGCUGACGAGUGGCGGACGGGUGAGUAAUGUGUAGGAAUCUGCCUCGCAGAGGGGGAUAACCCGGGGAAACUCGGGCUAAUACCGCAUACGAUCUACGGAUGAAAGUGGGGGACCGAUUGGCCUCGCGCUGUGAGAUGAGCCUACAUCCGAUUAGCUGGUUGGUAGGGUAAAGGCCUACCAAGGCGACGAUCGGUAGCUGGUCUGAGAGGAUGAUCAGCCACACUGGAACUGAGACACGGUCCAGACUCCUACGGGAGGCAGCAGUGGGGAAUAUUGGACAAUGGGCGCAAGCCUGAUCCAGCAAUGCCGCGUGUGUGAAGAAGGCCUGCGGGUUGUAAAGCACUUUAAGCAGGAAAGAAAAGCGAACUGAUAAUACCGGUUUGCCUUGACGUUACCUGAAGAAUAAGCACCGGCUAACUCCGUGCCAGCAGCCGCGGUAAUACGGAGGGUGCGAGCGUUAAUCGGAAUUACUGGGCGUAAAGCGCACGUAGGUGGUUGAUUAAGUCUUCUGUGAAAGCCCUGGGCUUAACCUGGGAACGGCAGGAGAAACUGGUGAGCUAGAGUGUCGGAGAGGGUAGUGGAAUUUCCGGUGUAGCAGUGAAAUGCGUAGAGAUCGGAAGGAACACCUGUGGCGAAGGCGGCUA